rnacentral:misc_RNA from 1 species
GAUGAAGAACGUAGCGAAAUGCGAUAAGUGAUGUGAAUUGCAGAAUUCAGUGAAUCAUCGAAUCUUUGAACGCACCUUGCGCUCUUUGGCCAUUCCGAAGGGCAUGCCUGUUUGAGUAUCAUGAACACCUCAACUCUUUAUGGUUUUCCAUGAUGAGCUUGGACUUUGGGGGUUUUGCUGGCCUAUGGUCGGCUCCUCUAAAAUAAAUCAGCUUACCAGUGUUUGGUGGGUAUCAUGGGUGUGAUAACUAUCUACGCUUGUGGUUUUUCCGCCAGGUAACCUUCGACAGCGGAGGUUCACUGGAGCUCAUAGAUGUCUCUCCUCAGCGAGGACAGCCCUUUGAAUGUUUGAUCUCAAAUCAGGUAGGACUACCCGCUGAACUUAAGCAUAUCAAUAAGCGGAGGA